UACGUAGGGUGCAAGCGUUAAUCGGAAUUAUUGGGCGUAAAGCGUGCGCAGGCGGUUGUGCAAGACCGAUGUGAAAUCCCCGGGCUUAACCUGGGAACUGCAUUUGUGACUGCACGGCUAGAGUGUGUCAGAGGGGGGUAGAAUUCCACGUGUAGCAGUGAAAUGCGUAGAUAUGUGGAGGAAUACCGAUGGCGAAGGCAGCCCCCUGGGAUAACACUGACGCUCAUGCACGAAAGCGUGGGGAGCAAACAGG
rnacentral:rRNA from 1 species